ACGAGUGGCGCACGGGUGCGUAACGCGUAUACAAUCUGCCUUUUACAAAGGGAUAGCCCAUGGAAACGUGGAUUAAUACCUUAUAACAUCAUUUUAUGGCAUCAUAGAGUGAUCAAAGAUUUAUCGGUAAAAGAGGAGUAUGCGUGACAUUAGCUAGUUGGUGAGGUAACGGCUCACCAAGGCUACGAUGUCUAGGGGUUCUGAGAGGAUGAUCCCCCACACUGGCACUGAGACACGGACCAGACUCCUACGGGAGGCAGCAGUGAGGAAUAUUGCGCAAUGGAGGAAACUCUGACGCAGCCAUGCCGCGUGAAGGAAUGAAUGCCCUACGGGUUGUAAACUUCUUUUAUAUGGGAAGAAACUUUUCUACGUGUAGAGAACUGACGGUACCAUACGAAUAAGCACCGGCUAACUCCGUGCCAGCAGCCGCGGUAAUACGGAGGGUGCAAGCGUUAUCCGGAUUCAUUGGGUUUAAAGGGUACGUAGGCGGAUAGAUAAGUUAGUGGUGAAAUCCCGAAGC
rnacentral:rRNA from 1 species